rnacentral:rRNA from 1 species
GAUCCUGGCUCAGAUUGAACGCUGGCGGCAGGCCUAACACAUGCAAGUCGAACGGUAACAGGAAGCAGCUUGCUGCUUUGCUGACGAGUGGCGGACGGGUGAGUAAUGUCUGGGAAACUGCCCGAUGGAGGGGGAUAACUACUGGAAACGGUAGCUAAUACCGCAUAACGUCGCAAGACCAAAGAGGGGGACCUUAGGUCCUCUUGCCAUCGGAUGUGCCCAGAUGGGAUUAGCUAGUAGGUGGGG